rnacentral:rRNA from 1 species
CCUACGGGAGGCUGCAGUGGGGAAUAUUGCACAAUGGGCGAAAGCCUGAUGCAGCAACGCCGCGUGAGCGAUGAAUGCCUUCGGGUCGGAAAGCUCUGUCCUCAAGGAAGAUAAUGACGGUACUUGAGGAGGAAGCUCCGUGAAACUACGUGCCAGCAGCCGCGGUAAUACGUAGGGGGCUAACGUUAUCCGGAAUUACUGGGCGUAAGGGGUGCGUAGGUGGUUUCUUAAGUCAGAGGUGAAAGGUUACGGCUAAACCGUAGUAAGCCUUUGAAACUGGGGAACUUGAGUGCAGGAGAGGAGAGUGGAAUUCGUAGUGUAGCGGUGAAAUGCGUAGAUAUUAGGAAGAACACCAGUUGCGAAGGCGGCUCUCUGGACUGUAACUGACACUGAGGCACGAAAGCGUGGGGAGCAAACAGGAUUAGAUACCCCUGUAGUC